GUAGGGCUGGCCCUUGGGAGGUGUUUCCCCAGCUGCUACUGACACGGUCCCCCCAGGAGACACACCCUCAGCCGCCGGCGCAUCAUCCCGCUGCCCCAGUGGAAGGCCAACCCCGAGACGGACCCCGAGGCCCUGUUUCAGAAGGAGCAGCUUGUGCUGGCCCUGUAUCCACAGACCACCUGCUUCUACCGGGCCCUGAUCCACACUCCCCCACAUCGGCCCCAGGAUGACUACUCCGUCCUGUUUGAAGACACCUCCUACGCAGAUGGCUACUCCCCUCCUCUCAAUGUGGCCCAGAGGUACGUUGUGGCUUGUAAGGAGCCUAAGAAAAAGUGAAGAAGGCUGGCAGACGCAGGCAACUGCUGCCCUCACUCCUCCUGGGAGAGGCAACAAAGGCUUUUCUGUGAGCAAAUAAAUCCUCAUCCCUCUC